rnacentral:rRNA from 1 species
GACGAACGCUGGCGGCGUGCUUAACACAUGCAAGUCGAGCGGUAAGGCCCUUUCGGGGGUACACGAGCGGCGAACGGGUGAGUAACACGUGGGUGACCUGCCCUUAGCUCUGGGAUAAGCCUGGGGAAACUGGGUCUAAUACCGGAUAUGACUCCAUGACGCAUGUUGUGGGGUGGAAAGCCUUGUGCGGCUAGGGAUGGGCCCGCGGCCUAUCAGCUUGUUGGUGGGGUGAUGGCCUACCAAGGCGACGACGGGUAGCCGGCCUGAGAGGGCGACCGGCCACACUGGGACUGAGACACGGCCCAGACUCCUACGGGAGGCAGCAGUGGGGAAUCUUGCGCAAUGGGCGAAAGCCUGACGCAGCGACGCCGCGUGGGG